rnacentral:lncRNA from 1 species
AACCAAAAAGGGUCUUCAGCAGUAAAUUGCAGUUACAUCAUUUGCAAUUCCAAUAACUAAAAGGCCCCCACAUGUUCAUAUGUACAUCUUUGAAGGCUGCUAAAAUUUAUGAAGAAAAGGACCUACCUGUUUUACCCCUUGCCCCGUGGAAAUCUGCAGUUUCUUCUUAGUGAUCAUUUAAGCAGGAUCCAAAAGUAAAUGGGUUCUUACUAUUGUCUAAGUAAUAAGAAAAAUUACUACUAAAAUGAAGCUUGUGCCUUUUAACCUGAUUGCCAACUGUUAAACAUAUACGUAGAUUACAGCACACUUACUUGAUCAGAGCAUGAUCUGUUUGGCCAUACGCACAGUGAACAGAAAUAUAGCAGCAGGUAGAAUAGUGAUUUAUAGCAGGUUAUCUUUACAAAAUUUGAGCUCAGAUUUAUUCACCAUUAAGUAAUUCAGUUAAUCCUAUAGGAAUAAGCUCCUUACAGUUACAUCCAAAAAUGUAAAUUAGAAAAAUUGAAGUUUUUGGUGCCUAUAUAUGAGAUAUGAAGCUAUUUGAUUUCUAGUCUUCUAUGUUUUAACAAGUUGUAGUAUUUUAAUGAUUUUGCUUUCAUACUCAUUUAACAGAACAUAAACACAUCUUUGGUUUUUUUCUGUGUGUAGGAGAAUGCUGGUUAGAGCGUGGUGUUCUUUUAUUUAAAGUUUUUUUCCUGAGUAUAAUUUAUAUAGCAUAUGUUGAAUAGAACUUCUGAAAUGACCAUUCUUUUUUAAAUGUUCUCUUAUCAAUAGAAAUGCCUUGAUUGAAUUAGUCGUUUAACUAAACAAGAUACUGUCCUAGAAAAACUGGACAGCUUAACCAACUUUCUUUAGAAAUGUAACCUUAAAAAA